GCUGGGGUCCUUUUCCACACUGGGAAAAGUUUGUUCUUUUGCUCUUGGCAACAAAUUUUGCUGCUGUACAAUUUUUGGGUCCACAUUGCCUUUAUGAGCUGUAACACUUGCCGCAAAGGUCUGCAGUUUCACUCCUGAAGCCAGCGAGACAACAAACCCACCAGGAGGAACAAACAACUCCAGAUGCACUGCGUUAAGAGCUGUAACACUCAAUGUGAAGGUCGGCAGCUUCACUUCUGAGCCAGCGAGACCGUGAUCCUACCAGAAGGAAGAAACUCCGAACGCAUCUGAACAUCAGAAGGAACAAACUCUGGACACGCUGCCUUAAAGAACUGUAACACUCACCGCGAGGGUCUGCGGCUUGAUUCUUGAAAUUUACUGAAGAGUUAGAAGGAUAACAGUGUUCUUGUAAACAUUCAUCUGGCUUCCCCAAAUGUUGACGUCUUACACAACCAUGGACUGCCAUGUAGAACAGAAGCAUCCCAUUUGGAGCACUGGUGACUGAGGAUUCUGGAAGAAGGAGGCCUGGGACCUUUAAUGCUAUUACCCACAAUUUCUCCACUGCCAUGGCAGAGAACCCACCCUCAUAUGGAAGCACUUCCCUUCUGUUCUUUUCAUUCCUUCUAUUAACCUUCUCCCCAUAGACCACCCACAGGCUGCCAGAGUUCCAAACUAUCUUCCCCAAACACAACACUCACCAUGGCCCUCCUCUGUGGGCUGUUCAUUGCAAACAGAAUUAAAUUCUACCUUUUAAUGAGGCUCAUUAAAUUCUACCUUUUAUUGGCUCAUACUGCUCCCUCCAUUUUCAUUUCUCACUAUCUUUCUCUUCAUAUCUAAAACUGGAGCCACACUGCAUUGUUUCUUCUUUAAAACACUCCUGCUACCCCAGGCCUCUGUGACUGUGCAUAGGAUGCCCUCUCCAGCUAGAAUGUCUUUCCACUUCUUUCUUCCCAUGGGCUUUUUCCUAUUUAUCCAUAGCACACCUGGGAUGUUAUCGUCUCUGUGAAAUCUUCCCUCCCUCCCUCAAACUCUAACCUCUGUGUUCCCACAGCAUCUUUCACCUAUUACACAAACCUCUGUUGUGGAACACAUUAUGUUGUUUCGAAACUUUUCUGUGUCGAUUUCUGCCUUUUUUGUUGGAGUGGGAGCUCUUCAAAAGCAGGCCCUGUCUUGUUUAUUUAUGUAGCUUCAGCAAAGGGCCUAGCACCUAACAAUGUUGCCAACAUUUUUCGAGUGCCUACUUUUUACUAGCACAACAAAUUACCUCACUAAAUCUAUAAAAGAACCCUAUAAAGGAGGUAUUUUUAAAUGCUCCCUAUUUUACAUAUGAGAAAACUGAAGCUCAUAGAGCAUAAUAGACUUUCCAAGGUGACACAGCCAAUAAAAUGUGGAGCCAGAAUUGGAAUUCAGGUGUCUUUGACUCCAAGGGCCCUUCUUAUAACCAUGGAACAAAUUGCCUCUGAGGACUAUUUCUGCAGUGACACAGAGGAACUGUCCCCAACUGUAGCAUCAUGAAAGUCACUUUAGAGCCAGUCUGGCUGAACCUCUCAUGUUAAUGAUGAGAAAACUGAGACCCGGAAAGGAAAGGUGGUAUGCAAUGGUUUCCUAACUUUGGAGCAAGAAUCUUGUUCAGCGCUUAGAUCUUCUGACCCCAAGGCUCUUUUCACUUUAUCACACUGAUAAUUUGGUGAGAGGCCAGCCACACCAUUUGUUUGACGAAAAAGGCAGCAUCACAUAUAAGAUCUUCUUAUAGAAAAUGGGCUUUAUUCUUGGCCGGCCAUGGUGGCUCACGCCUGUAAUCCCAGCACUUUGGGAGGCCAAGGCAGGUGGAUCACGAGGUCAGGAGAUCAAGACCAUCCUGGCUACCACGGUGAAACCCCGUCUCUACUAAAAAUACAAAAAAUUAGCCAGGCGUGGUGGUGGGUGCCUGUAGUCCCAGCUACUUGGGAGGCUGAGGCAAGAGAAUGGCGUGAACCCUGGAGGCAGAGCUUGCAGUGAGCGAAGACUGCACCACUGCACUCCAGCCUGGGCGACAGAGUGAGACUCCGUAUCAAAAAAAAAAAAAAAACAAAAAAACAGAAAAUGGGCUUUAUUCUCAAGUGUGAAGAGAAGUAGCUGGUAGCCUAUAAUAGCUAUAGAUUUGCACAGGAGAUGAUGCUGUGUCAACACAGGACCAGAGUGAAAGAAGCAAGGGUUUGCUGGGGUCUGAUUUACAGACAGGUACUUAACAACAGUGUGACCUCUAACAAAUUGAUUCUUUGUUUUUUUCCUUCCCCCUACCCACCUUCCCCACCCUCCUCGUUUUUCUUCUCCAUUUUCCUCCAUUCUUUCCUCCUUUCUUUCUCUUAGCUGAGUGGAAUAUUCACAUGAUAACUCCAGCCAAUGAAUGUUAAAUAUAAAUUACCAACUUAAAAUCAUAGCUAUUAAUUUAUAUCUACGAAUGCAGAUAUUGAGAGGUGAGAGGUACACAGUGACUUAAUAAAGUUUUGUAAACACAUCUGAGCAUUUAUUAAUCUUUUAAAAUUAGCUUAGAAUUUCUACAUUGUGUAAUUUAAAAUAUGAAAACUAUUUUUAUUUUAAUAGAAGGCAUACUGAAGAUGGCUUCAGUGUUUAAUCCAACCAAACGUUUAAAUAAUAAAUACAAAUCCUUUAUGAACUCUUCCAAAAAAUAAAAGAGGAUAUUAAACUUCCCAACCCAUUCUAUGAGGCUAGCAUAACCC
rnacentral:lncRNA from 1 species